UAUGUGAUCGUCUCUCGCAUAUCAAUAAGCGGAGGAAAAGAAACUAACAAGGAUUCCCCUAGUAACGGCGAGUGAAGCGGGAAGAGCUCAAAUUUGAAAUCUUAAAGGGUUUCCCUUUACGAAUUGUAGUUUAAAGAAGUGUUUUCUGUUGAGGUUUUGGUAAAAGUUCUUUGGAAUAGGACAUCAUAGAGGGUGAGAAUCCCGUAUUUGACCUUUACUUUCAACUUUGUGAUACACUUUCAAAGAGUCGGAUUGUUUGGGAAUGCAGUCCAAAAUGGGUGGUAAAUUUCAUCUAAAGCUAAAUAUUGGCGAGAGACCGAUAGCGAACAAGUACCGUGAGGGAAAGAUGAAAAGAACUUUGAAAAGAGAGUUAAACAGUACGUGAAAUUGUCAAAAGGGAAGCGUUUGACACCAGUGUUGUUUUUCUGAAAAUCAAUUAAAGAACUGUUUGUGCUAAGUUGUUUAGACUUCAUCAGCUAACUGUUUAGUUUUGAGCUUUUCUUUAAUGCACUUUUCAGUUAACAAGUCAACAUCAAUUUCUUUUGCUGUAAAAAAGCUUGAGGAAGGUGGCUUGAGAUUCGUCUUAAGUGUUUAUAGCCUCUUGCCUAUGCAGUCGGAGAGAUUGAGGUCUGCAGCGUAGAUCCUUCGGGGCUAAAUGCAUUUGUGCUAAGUUAUAGCAUUUUAUAGACAACUUGUUGACUAUGAUUUGUCUUGUAGCUUACUCGCUUAUGUUAUUUUACCUACGCUUAGGAUGUUGAUCUACAGAGCGAGAGU
rnacentral:rRNA from 1 species